AUUGAACGCUGGCGGCAGGCCUAACACAUGCAAGUCGAGCGGAGCGUCGGACGGGUGAGUAAUGCCUAGGAAUCUGCCUGGUAGUGGGGGAUAACGUCCGGAAAGAGGCCAUAAUACAUCAGACUAUCAGGGCGGCCUCGGUCGGAUUCGCUAGUUGGUGGGGCAAAGGCUCACCAAGGCGACGAUGCGUAGCUGGUCUGAGAGGAUGAUCAGUCACACUGGGACUGAGACACGGUCCAGACUCCUACGGGAGGCAGCAGUGGGGAAUAUUGGACAAUGGGCGAAAGUGUGAACCAGCAAUGCCGCGUGUGUGAAGAAGGUCUUCGGAUCGUAAAGCACUUUAAUUUGGGAGGCGUUACCAACAGAAUAAGCACCGGCUAACUACGUGCCAGCAGCCGCGGUAAUAC
rnacentral:rRNA from 1 species